UACAGAGGUCCCAAGCGUUGUUCGGAUUCACUGGGCGUAAAGGGUGCGUAGGUGGUGAGGUAAGUCGGAUGUGAAAUCUCGGAGCUCAACUCCGAAAUGGCAUUGGAAACUACCUUGCUCGAGGGUUGGAAGGGGGACUGGAAUACUUGGUGUAGCAGUGAAAUGCGUAGAUAUCAAGUGGAACACCAGUGGCGAAGGCGGCCUUCUGGACGGUGACUGACGCUGAGGCGCGAAAGCGUGGGGAGCAAACGGG
rnacentral:rRNA from 1 species